rnacentral:tRNA from 2 species
GGCCAGUUGGUGUAAUGGUUAGCAUGUCGGAUUCUGAAUAAAGGAUCCUUCCGGAGAUGCUGGUUCGAUUCCUGCACAGGCCU